rnacentral:lncRNA from 1 species
UGUGGGAAAAGGUCUUACCUUUUAAUUUUGUCCAUCUUUCCUUUAUUUCGGUUGAUUUUUCCUAUGUUUUUCCUUAGUGUUUCCUCUAUUUUUUUGGUCCUCAAGAGUCUCAGUCGGGUGGGAGGCUUGGAGCGAUUGAAUAAGAAAACUUAGAUGAUGGCUAGAGUUUUGUCGAAACUCUAGCUACUGAGCUGCUGCCACUAAGAGUGGAGAGUGUGGGGACCCACCAGAUUGCCACCAGGGGUGGGGGGGGAGUGGGGACUUGCCAGCUGUCGGGCUGUCAUAGCGCCACUUGGGUGUCAGGGUGGUCGA